rnacentral:rRNA from 1 species
CCUACGGGAGGCAGCAGUGGGGAAUAUUGCUCAAUGGGGGAAACCCUGAAGCAGCAACGCCGCGUGGAGGAUGAAGGUUCUCGGAUUGUAAACCUCUUUUGUUAGAGAAGAUAAUCACGGUACCUAACCAAUAAGCACCGGCUAACUCCGUGCCAGCAGCCGCGGUAAUACGGAGGGUGCAAGCGUUACUCGGAAUCACUGGGGGGAAAGAGCGCGUAGGCGGGAUAGCAAGUCAGAUGUGAAAUCCUAGGGCUUAACCCUAGAACUGCAUUUGAAACUGUUAUUCUGGAGUAUAGGAGGGGUAGGCGGAAUUCUUGGUGUAGGGGUGAAAUGCGUAGAGAUCAAGAGGAAUACUGAUUGCGAAGGCGACUUGCUAGAAUGUAACUGACGCUGAGGCUCGAAAGCGUGGGGAGCAAACAGGAUUAGAUACCCUUGUAGUC